GACGAACGCUGGCGGCGUGCCUAAUACAUGCAAGUAGAACGCUGAAGGAGGAGCUUGCUUCUCUGGAUGAGUUGCGAACGGGUGAGUAACGCGUAGGUAACCUGCCUGGUAGCGGGGGAUAACUAUUUGAAACGAUAGCUAAUACCGCAUAAUAUUGACUAUUGCAUGAUAGUCAGUUGAAAGGUGCAACUGCACCACUACCAGAUGGACCUGCGUUGUAUUAGCUAGUUGGUGGGGUAACGGCUCACCAAGGCGACGAUACAUAGCCGACCUGAGAGGGUGAGCGGCCACGCUGGGACUGAGACACGGCCCAGACUCCUGCGGGAGGCAGCAGUAGGGAAUCUUCGGCAAUGGACGGAAGUCUGACCGAGCAACGCCGCGGGAGUGAAGAAGGGUGUCGGAUCGUAAAGCUCUGUUGUAAGAGAAGAACGAGUGUGAGAGUGGAAAGCUCACACUGUGACGGUAGCUUACCAGAAAGGGACGGCUAACUACGUG
rnacentral:rRNA from 1 species